rnacentral:piRNA from 1 species
UAACUGGUGCAUUCUCUUGGGUUUGCGGAC